rnacentral:rRNA from 1 species
AUGAUGAGGGAGAAGGUGGUGACCAAUAGGAGAUAUUCGAGCUCAGGAGUAACAUGGCACAAAGGGAUGUUGGUUGAUAAGAUUCAUCCACAUACCAUGUCAAUAUUCUUGGACAAGUCUCCGAACCAUCUAAGCGGCGAUCUCGACCUCUCCUGGCCCGCCACCCCUCUGGUGCUGGACGAAGACAACGAGGUCCCUGCUCCCGUGGUGCCGCUGCCUUCUCCUCCGCCCGUCGCCACCCCUAUGGUGGCCUCCCCCGCCCGCCGCCGGAGCGCCCGCCUUGCCGGGAUCGAGCCUUCGGAGUACGUCUCCAUCAUCCAGAAGGCCACUCAGCGCAUGCGUGUCUUGAAGGAAGGAAAGAUUUUUGCUGGUGGAAAGGCGCUCCUCCCAGUUCAGCUCAUCGACUUGGCGCCCGAGGUCUCCUCGCCCCUCCCUCGGCAGGACGUGCUGGAGCUUGCCGCUGCCUGUGACGUGCCUGCCUCGGCUCUCCUUGAUGACACCGCAUGUGUCUAA